rnacentral:rRNA from 1 species
CCUACGGGUGGCAGCAGUGAGGAAUAUUGGUCAAUGGCCGUAAGCCUGAACCAGCCAAGUAGCGUGAAGGAUGACUGCCCUAUGGGUUGUAAACCUCUUUUAUGCGGGGAUAAAGGUCUCCCCGUAUAGUUCUUUGCAGGUACCGCAUGAAUAAGGACCGGCUAAUUCCGUGCCAGCAGCCGCGGUAAUACGGAGGGUCCGGGCGUUAUCCGGAUUUAUUGGGUUUAAAGGGAGCGUAGGCGGGUCGUUAAGCUUGCCGUGAAAUUUUGUGGCUCAACCGUGAGAGUGCGGUGCGCACUGGAGACCUUGAGUGCGGUGAAGGCAGGCGGAAUUCGUGGUGUAGCGGUGAAAUGCUUAGAUAUCACGAAGAACCCCGAUUGCGAAGGCAGCCUGCUGCAGCGUAACUGACGCUGAAGCUCGAAAGUGCGGGUAUCGAACAGGAUUAGAUACCCGUGUAGUC